rnacentral:rRNA from 1 species
CGCUUUCACUCCUACGGGAGGCAGCAGUGGGGAAUAUUGCACAAUGGGCGCAAGCCUGAUGCAGCCAUGCCGCGUGUAUGAAGAAGGCCUUCGGGUUGUAAAGUACUUUCAGCAGUGAGGAAGGUGGAGUCGUUAAUAGCGGCCUCAUUUGACGUUAGCUGCAGAAGAAGCACCGGCUAACUCCGUGCCAGCAGCCGCGGUAAUACGGAGGGUGCGAGCGUUAAUCGGAAUUACUGGGCGUAAAGCGCAUGCAGGUGGUUUGUUAAGUCAGAUGUGAAAGCCCGGGGCUUAACCUCGGAAUUGCAUUUGAAACUGGCAGGCUAGAGUCUUGUAGAGGGGGUAGAAUUUCAGGUGUAGCGGUGAAAAUGCGUAGAGAUCUGAAGGAAUACCAGUGGCGAAGGCGGCCCCCCUGGACAAAGACUGACGCUCAGAUGCGAAAGCGUGGGGAGCAAACAGGAUUAGAUACCCUGGUAG